rnacentral:lncRNA from 1 species
CUUUAUUUAUCAUUUCAUUUUUUAUAUUUCUUAUUAGCAUGCAUGAUGAAUUAACUAAAAAAACAAUAAACCUAAGUUAUUACAUGAUCAUGGGGUGGGGGAACAUUCAACUGACAAUGGGGGAUGGAUCCACACAAUACAAAAUAAGGGGAUGAAAAGAAAAUACAAAUUACAAACCAUGUGCCAUGCCUAAAACAUACAAGUGGCA